rnacentral:rRNA from 1 species
UACGAAGGGGGCUAGCGUUGCUCGGAAUUACUGGGCGUAAAGCGAGUGUAGGCGGUCCGAUAAGUCGGGUGUGAAAUCCCCGGGCUUAACCUGGGAACUGCAUUUGUGACUGCAUGGCUGGAGUGCGGCAGAGGGGGAUGGAAUUCCGCGUGUAGAGGUGAAAUUCGUAGAUAUUCGGAAGAACACCAGUGGCGAAGGCGACUCACUGGCCCGAUACUGACGCUGAGGCGCGAAAGCGUGGGGAGCAAACAGG